GAAACGGCAGCUAAGACCGCAUAGGUAUGGACACUGCAUGGUGACCAUAUUAAAAGUGCCAAGGCACUGGUAGAGGAUGGACUUAUGGCGCAUUAGCUGGUUGGUGAGGUAACGGCUCACCAAGGCGACGAUGCGUAGCCGACCUGAGAGGGUGACCGGCCACACUGGGACUGAGACACGGCCCAGACUCCUACGGGAGGCAGCAGUAGGGAAUUUUCGGCAAUGGGGGGAACCCUGACCGAGCAACGCCGCGUGAAGGAAGAAGGAAUUCGUUCUGUAAACUUCUGUUAUAAAGGAAGAACGGCGGAUAUAGGGAAUGAUAUCCGAGUGACGGUACUUUAUGAGAAAGCCACGGCUAACUACGUGCCAGCAGCCGCGGUAAUACGUAGGUGGCGAGCGUUAUCCGGAAUUAUUGGGCGUAAAGAGGGAGCAGGCGGCGGCAGAGGUCUGUGGUGAAAGACUGAAGCUUAACUUCAGUAAGCCAUAGAAACCGGGCUGCUAGAGUGCAGGAGAGGAUCGUGGAAUUCCAUGUGUAGCGGUGAAAUGCGUAGAUAUAUGGAGGAACACCAGUGGCGAAGGCGACGGUCUGGCCUGUAACUGACGCUCAUUCCCGAAAGCGUGGGGAGCAAAUAGGAUUAGAUACCCUAGUAGUCCACGCCGUAAACGAUGAGUACUAAGUGUUGGG
rnacentral:rRNA from 1 species